rnacentral:sRNA from 1 species
UUGAGGAGCUUGGAGACAGAAUUUCUCUAUCAACAGAAUAAGUAAAGCUUGAGGGAACAGCAGUGCAAGGUUCUCCACACACUACUGACCAUCUGCCUCAACCCUGACCUGGAGAAAGAAGCUCAAGGAGAAAUGUUCAGUCUUCAUGACUGUUCAGUCUUCAUGACUGU